AUCGAAGCAGAUAAUGAAAUUCAGCUCAGUUCAUUUCGAAGUUAAAAACUACCCAUUUCAGAUAUCUCGCUCUCCUACUCAAUAAAGUUUCCACAAUUUCUCACUUCCCCAACUCAUAUAAAAACACAAAACUAAAAAUAAUAAAUCAGAAAAAUAAAUAUGUCCCCCAUAUCUGCCUCUAAAUUCUUCAGCAUUAGCACCAGUGAUGUCUUCUAUUCUACUGCAACUCUUCCGAAUCUCCCCAAAGUUCCAACCUUUUACCCUACCCUUUUCCCAAAACUCCCUCCACGGCCCCACCUCCUCACCCAAUCUUCAAGAAAGACCUUGACUUUGGUUUCCUCGAAGUCAUCCAACGAAGCAGAGGAGCUCUCUUCAGUAGGCCCAGAGGACGAGUGGCUGAAGAAGCUUCCGGACAAGAAGAAGCCCCUUUACUCUCACAGCCUGCCCUGUAUUGAGGCCUGGUUGAGGAGCUUGGGGUUUUACCAGAGCAAAGAUGACCGGGCCGUUUGGCUUGUGGAGAAGCCGGAGUGGCACGCCCAGCUCUCACUAGAUGUCACUGACCUAUAUAUAAGAUAUCUGAAGAGCGGACCUGGGAAUCUUGAAAAGGAUGUUGAGAGGAGAUUUAGUUAUGCAUUGAGUAGAGAGGAUAUUGAGAAUGCCGUGCUUGGAGGACCUUAACUACAAUAUUGAUUAAUCUUGCCAUCAUAUUGUUUAUCUGCUUAAUUUAUUGAUGGUUUUGAAUGGAUGCUGAUUUGUCCAAAAUAGGGGGAAAGAAAUAGAGCCGGCCAAUAGCUAGCUGAUACGCCUGCAGUGAAGCUCUAAAGUAUUUUCUUGCUUGUGAACGAGAAUUCCUAAGUGAUUCGAUGCAUGCAAAAAUUUUAAGUUUAUGACUAUGGACAUACCUCAAUAGGCCUAAGACCAGUUUCUUUCUCCUUCACUUG